rnacentral:sRNA from 1 species
UGGUACUGAUUUCAGUUGGCUCAUCUGU